CCUACGGGUGGCUGCAGUGGGGAAUAUUGCACAAUGGGCGCAAGCCUGAUGCAGCCAUGCCACGUGUGUGAAGAAGGCCUUCGGGUUGUAAAGCACUUUCAGCGGGGAGGAAGGCGUUAAGGUUAAUAACCUUGUCGAUUGACGUUACCCGCAGAAGAAGCACCGGCUAACUCCGUGCCAGCAGCCGCGGUAAUACGGAGGGUGCAAGCGUUAAUCGGAAUUACUGGGCGUAAAGCGCACGCAGGCGGUCUGUCAAGUCGGAUGUGAAAUCCCCGGGCUCAACCUGGGAACUGCAUUCGAAACUGGCAGGCUAGAGUCUUGUAGAGGGGGGUAGAAUUCCAGGUGUAGCGGUGAAAUGCGUAAAGAUCUGGAGGAAUACCGGGGCGAAGGCGGCCCCCUGGACAAAGACUGACGCUCAGGUGCGAAAGCGUGGGGAGCAAACAGGAUUAGAUACCCGGGUAGUC
rnacentral:rRNA from 1 species